GUUUUCUGAAUCGGUAGUGGCCGUGCAGUAUGAAUUUCCUCGGGUCCGCAUAACGUCUCAUCUGUGUGUUGUCCUGACGAUAAUUGCAUGCAGCCGCUCGGUCUUUUCGCUGAAGGGUCGAUCUGAACAGUGAACAACCACUAAUACAGUUUUGAGGGACAUUCCUUGUUGUUCUGAAACUCCAGGCAUUUACAGGAAAAUAAAGAAAUAUAAUAAUUCCACCAUGGACGGUCCCAGACCUGGCAGUGAAAGGAAGAGGGUUGGGCAUGGGAUAGCAGCCCUAUCCCAUAAAAACCCAGUGCUACAAAAUCAUCAACAGAAGCUCCGAAGACCUCAACCCUGGAAGAGAAAGGAUUUAGAAAAUGGGCUAAAACUGGGAACACUUUGAAAGGCUGGCCCAGAAUAGAGGACUCUAGCAAACUGCUGUCAGUGGUCUAUGCUUCAGUGGGGAUGAUUGGCUUAAAAGAAGAAAGAAAUACAAUAGAAUUUAUGAAAAAUAUUUAGGGAGAUGCAGCCAUGUCUCUCUCACACACUAUCAUGUGUGUGAGAUGAUCAUAUUUAUCAAUCAAUUUUACAGAACAAUCAUGAAUUAUCUGAUUAAAGACUGUGACCAACCCAUAAAAUAAAGAAUCUGUAGAAAUUCUUUCCCAGCACAACACAACCUGCUGGAAGAACUCAGCAGGUAGAGCAGUGUAGGUGUGAGGAAAGAAAUCAUCGACAUGUUGGGUCAAAAACCUUUCUCAGGACUGCAUCAACACUGCAUUUUGAUCCAAAAUGCAGACAAUUUCUUUCCUCCCACCAAUGCAACAUGACUCACUGAGUCCUUCCAGCAGAUUGUGUGCUGUUCCAGAUUCCAGCAUUUGCACUCCCUUGUGUAUCAAAAUUCAUCCCCAGACUGUAAUGCUAAUUGUGUAGGUAGUUUUAAAGUUGCUUUCUAUUGUGACUCCAAAUUCAUGCAUCAACUUUUAUAGUAUAAAAUUGGAAGGCUGAAAAGUGAUUAAAUAAAAUUAUGCCUGGUGAGAAAUUGAUUUCAGGGAAACAUCUAAUCAGUUCAGUUAAGCAU